CCUACGGGUGGCUGCAGUGGGGAAUAUUGGACAAUGGGGGGAACCCUGAUCCAGCGACGCCGCGUGAGUGAAGAAGUAUUUCGGUAUGUAAAGCUCUAUCAGCAGGGAAGAAAGAAAUGACGGUACCUGACUAAGAAGCCCCGGCUAACUACGUGCCAGCAGCCGCGGUAAUACGUAGGGGGCAAGCGUUAUCCGGAUUUACUGGGUGUAAAGGGAGCGUAGACGGCGGGGCAAGUCUGGAGUGAAGGGCCGGGGCCCAACCCCGGAACCGCUCUUGAAACUGCCCGGCUGGAGUGCGGGGGAGGUAAGCGGAAUUCCUAGUGUAGCGGUGAAAUGCGUAGAUAUUAGGAGGAACACCAGCGGCGAAGGCGGCUUACUGGACCGUGACUGACGUUGAGGCUCGAAAGCGUGGGGAGCAAACAGGAUUAGAUACCCUUGUAGUC
rnacentral:rRNA from 1 species